CGAGCGGAUGAAGAGAGNUUGCUCUCUGAUUCAGCGGCGGNCCCUUUAAGNAAUGCCUAGGAAUCUGCCUGAUAGUGGGGGACAACUUUUUCGAAAGGAACGCUAAUACCGCAUACGUCCUACGGGAGAAAGCAGGGGACCUUCGGGCCUUGCGCUAUCAGAUGAGCCUAGGUCGGAUUAGCUAGUUGGUGAGGUAACGGCUCACCAAGGCGACGAUCCGUAACUGGUCUGAGAGGAUGAUCAGUCACACUGGAACUGAGACACGGUCCAGACUCCUACGGGAGGCAGCAGUGGGGAAUAUUGGACAAUGGGCGAAAGCCUGAUCCAGCCAUGCCGCGUGUGUGAAGAAGGUCUUCGGAUUGUAAAGCACUUUAAGUUGGGAGGAAGGGCAUUAACCUAAUACGUUAGUGUUUUGACGUUACCGACAGAAUAAGCACCGGCUAACUUCGUGCCAGCAGCCGCGGUAAUACGAAGGGUGCAAGCGUUAAUCGGAAUUACUGGGCGUAAAGCGCGCGUAGGUGGUUUGUUAAGUUGAAUGUGAAAGCCCCGGGCUCAACCUGGGAACUGCAUCCAAAACUGGCAAGCUAGAGUAUGGCAGAG
rnacentral:rRNA from 1 species